rnacentral:misc_RNA from 1 species
AAGUCGUAACAAGGUUUUCGUAGGUGAACCUGCGGAAGGAUCAUUAGAGAGCGAGCAUGGCGCAGGCCGUGCUGACAAGUGUGAGCGGAGAGUCGUGGGCGCAGCCCAUAUGGCGUUGCAAGCAGGGACACUAUAACAAGUACAACUUUCAGCGAUGGAUCUCUUGGCUCUCA